rnacentral:rRNA from 1 species
UACGUAGGGGGCAAGCGUUGUCCGGAAUCAUUGGGCGUAAAGCGCGUGUAGGCGGUUCGGUAAGUCUGCUGUGAAAUCCCCGGGCUCAACCCGGGAACUGCGUCCGAUACUGGCAGGCUUGAAUUCGGGAGAGGGAUGCGGAAUUCCAGGUGUAGCGGUGAAAUGCGUAGAUAUCUGGAGGAACACCGGUGGCGAAGGCGGCAUCCUGGACCGAGAUUGACGCUGAGGCGCGAAAGCCAGGGGAGCAAACGGG